rnacentral:rRNA from 1 species
AGUGAACGCUGGCGGUAGGCCUAACGCAUGCAAGUCGAACGGCAGCACAGUAAGAGCUUGCUCUUACGGGUGGCGAGUGGCGGACGGGUGAGGAAUACAUCGGAAUCUACUUUUUCGUGGGGGAUAACGUAGGGAAACUUACGCUAAUACCGCAUACGACCUACGGGUGAAAGCAGGGGAUCUUCGGACCUUGCGCGAUUGAAUGAGCCGAUGUCGGAUUAGCUAGUUGGCGGGGUAAAGGCCCACCAAGGCGACGAUCCGUAGCUGGUCUGAGAGGAUGAUCAGCCACACUGGAACUGAGACACGGUCCAGACUCCUACGGGGGGCAGCAGUGGGGAAUAUUGGACAAUGGGCGCAAGCCUGAUCCAGCCAUACCGCGUGGGUGAAGAAGGCCUUCGGGUUGUAAAGCCCUUUUGUUGGGAAAGAAAAGCAGCAGGUUAAUACCCCGCUGUUCUGACGGUACCCAAAGAAUAAGCACAGGCUAACUUCGUG